CAGUCGCCGCGGUAAAACGUAGGUGGCAAGCGUUGUCCGGAAUUAUUGGGCGUAAAGGGCUCGCAGGCGGUUUCUUAAGUCUGAUGUGAAAGCCCCCGGCUCAACCGGGGAGGGUCAUUGGAAACUGGGAAACUUGAGUGCAGAAGAGGAGAGUGGAAUUCCACGUGUAGCGGUGAAAUGCGUAGAGAUGUGGAGGAACACCAGUGGCGGAGGCGACUCUCUGGUCUGUAACUGACGCUGAGGAGCGAAAGCGUGGGGAGCGAACAGGAUUAGAUACCCGUGUAGUCCCUGUCUCUUAUAC
rnacentral:rRNA from 1 species